rnacentral:rRNA from 1 species
CCUACGGGUGGCAGCAGUGGGGAAUAUUGGACAAUGGGGGGAACCCUGAUCCAGCCAUGCCGCGUGUGUGAAGAAGGCCCGCGGGGUGUAAAGCACUUUCAGUGAGGAAGAACGCCUGGUGGUUAAUACCCAUCAGGAAAGACAUCACUCACAGAAGAAGCACCGGCUAACUCCGUGCCAGCAGCCGCGGUAAUACGGAGGGUGCGAGCGUUAAUCGGAAUUACUGGGCGUAAAGCGCGCGUAGGUGGCUUGAUAAGCCGGUUGUGAAAGCCCCGGGCUCAACCUGGGAACGGCAUCCGGAACUGUCAAGCUAGAGUGCAGGAGAGGAAGGUAGAAUUCCCGGUGUAGCGGUGAAAUGCGUAGAGAUCGGGAGGAAUACCCGUGGCGAAGGCGGCCUUCUGGACUGACACUGACACUGAGGUGCGAAAGCGUGGGUAGCAAACAGGAUUAGAUACCCGUGUAGUC